rnacentral:tRNA from 1 species
GGGGCCAUAGCUCAGUGGCACAGCACUUGCCUGGCAAGUGCAAGGUCCUGAGUUCAAAUCUCAGUACCCA